rnacentral:tRNA from 1 species
CGGAUUAUGGAAUUAUUAUUUAUUUACAAUAAAUAUUUUUACUGUUCAAUUCAGUAGAGUCUGA